UUCCCCGCAGGGCAGAGGCGCCCGGCUUUAGAGCCCCAGCCUUCAUUUCCCUGAUGCCGUGUUUGUUCCCUGAGCCUUUCCCCGCAUCCGGAGCAGCUCCCGAGUGCCGUGCAUAGCGCCAAUGAUUGGGAACGUGGCCAUGCCCUGGCUCCCUGCCCACACGGAGAACCAGACAAGAACUACAGUGCGUGUCGUUGAGGGAAGUCUCCAUGGUGCUUGCACCCAACACGUGAGGCAUCAGUGUGGCCUGGACUCUGUCCUGAGAGGCAGAGGCCCCCCAGCUGGGCCCGUACCUCCCUUCUACUUGGGGAAUUGUUUGGCCUUCCCUGUCUGCUCCUCCCACCUGUACCCAGGUGUGCCUCUACCUGGUAGCUGAGAUCUUGGACCUCCAAGGUGUUGGACUUGCCGCUGUAGGUGAAGUACAGGCUGUUGUCAGUUUCAGAGGAGAACACACUGUCCUGGAGGCCCUGCGGGGAGACGUGACAGAGAGAGUUUUGAGGCUUCCCUCCAGCACAGCUCCUGGCCCCAGGGAAGCUGAAUUACAGGCUGUUGGAACCUGAA